rnacentral:rRNA from 1 species
CGGGGUGCAGCAGGCGCGAAAACUCUACAAUGCAGGCAACUGCGAUAGGGGGACAUCGAGUGGCAUCCACCUUGGGUGCCUGUCCAACCGUCUAAAAAACGGUUGUUAGCAAGGGCCGGGUAAGACCGGUGCCAGCCGCCGCGGUAAUACCGGCGGCUCGAGUGGUGGCCGAUAUUAUUGAGUCUAAAGGGUCCGUAGCCGGCUUUGCAAGUCCCCUGGGAAAUCCAGCGGCUUAACCGUUGGGCUUUCAUGGGAUACUACAUUGCUUGGGACUGGGAGAGGUAGGAGGUACUCGGGGGGUAGGGGUGAAAUCCUGUAAUCCUCCGGGGACCACCGGUGGCGAAGGCGUCCUACCAGAACAGGUCCGACGGUGAGGGACGAAAGCUAGGGGCACGAACCGGAUUAGAUACCCGGGUAGUCCUAGCCGUAAACGAUGCCCGCUAGGUGUCACGACGGUCGUGAAUCGUCGUGGUGCCGUAGGGAAGCCGCGAAGCGGGCCACUUGGGAAGUACGGCCGCAAGGCUGAAACUUAAAGGAAUUGGC